rnacentral:rRNA from 1 species
GGGUUGUGAGGUUAAGCGACUAAGCGUACACGGUGGAUGCCCUGGCAGUCAGAGGCGAUGAAGGACGUGCUAAUCUGCGAUAAGCGUCGGUAAGGUGAUAUGAACCGUUAUAACCGGCGAUUUCCGAAUGGGGAAACCCAGUGUGAUUCGUCACACUAUCAUUAACUGAAUCCAUAGGUUAAUGAGGCGAACCGGGGGAACUGAAACAUCUAAGUACCCCGAGGAAAAGAAAUCAACCGAGAUUCCCCCAGUAGCGGCGAGCGAACGGGGAGCAGCCCAGAGCCUGAAUCAGUGUGUGUGUUAGUGGAAGCGUCUGGAAAGGCGUGCGAUACAGGGUGACAGCCCCGUACACAAAAAUGCACAUACUGUGAGCUCGAUGAGUAGGGCGGGACACGUGGUAUCCUGUCUGAAUAUGGGGGGACCAUCCUCCAAGGCUAAAUACUCCUGACUGACCGAUAGUGAACCAGUACCGUGAGGGAAAGGCGAAAAGAACCCCGGCGAGGGGAGUGAAAAAGAACCUGAAACCGUGUACGUACAAGCAGUGGGAGCCUCUUAAUGGGGUGACUGCGUACCUUUUGUAUAAUGGGUCAGCGACUUAUAUUCUGUAGCAAGGUUAACCGAAUAGGGGAGCCGAAGGGAAACCGAGUCUUAACUGGGCGUUAAGUUGCAGGGUAUAGACCCGAAACCCGGUGAUCUAGCCAUGGGCAGGUUGAAGGUUGGGUAACACUAACUGGAGGACCGAACCGACUAAUGUUGAAAAAUUAGCGGAUGACUUGUGGCUGGGGGUGAAAGGCCAAUCAAACCGGGAGAUAGCUGGUUCUCCCCGAAAGCUAUUUAGGUAGCGCCUCGUGAAUUCAUCUCCGGGGGUAGAGCACUGUUUCGGCAAGGGGGUCAUCCCGACUUACCAACCCGAUGCAAACUGCGAAUACCGGAGAAUGUUAUCACGGGAGACACACGGCGGGUGCUAACGUCCGUCGUGAAGAGGGAAACAACCCAGACCGCCAGCUAAGGUCCCAAAGUCAUGGUUAAGUGGGAAACGAUGUGGGAAGGCCCAGACAGCCAGGAUGUUGGCUUAGAAGCAGCCAUCAUUUAAAGAAAGCGUAAUAGCUCACUGGUCGAGUCGGCCUGCGCGGAAGAUGUAACGGGGCUAAACCAUGCACCGAAGCUGCGGCAGCGACACUAUGUGUUGUUGGGUAGGGGAGCGUUCUGUAAGCCUGUGAAGGUGUACUGUGAGGUAUGCUGGAGGUAUCAGAAGUGCGAAUGCUGACAUAAGUAACGAUAAAGCGGGUGAAAAGCCCGCUCGCCGGAAGACCAAGGGUUCCUGUCCAACGUUAAUCGGGGCAGGGUGAGUCGACCCCUAAGGCGAGGCCGAAAGGCGUAGUCGAUGGGAAACAGGUUAAUAUUCCUGUACUUGGUGUUACUGCGAAGGGGGGACGGAGAAGGCUAUGUUGGCCGGGCGACGGUUGUCCCGGUUUAAGCGUGUAGGCUGGUUUUCCAGGCAAAUCCGGAAAAUCAAGGCUGAGGCGUGAUGACGAGGCACUACGGUGCUGAAGCAACAAAUGCCCUGCUUCCAGGAAAAGCCUCUAAGCAUCAGGUAACAUCAAAUCGUACCCCAAACCGACACAGGUGGUCAGGUAGAGAAUACCAAGGCGCUUGAGAGAACUCGGGUGAAGGAACUAGGCAAAAUGGUGCCGUAACUUCGGGAGAAGGCACGCUGAUAUGUAGGUGAAGUCCCUCGCGGAUGGAGCUGAAAUCAGUCGAAGAUACCAGCUGGCUGCAACUGUUUAUUAAAAACACAGCACUGUGCAAACACGAAAGUGGACGUAUACGGUGUGACGCCUGCCCGGUGCCGGAAGGUUAAUUGAUGGGGUUAGCGGUAACGCGAAGCUCUUGAUCGAAGCCCCGGUAAACGGCGGCCGUAACUAUAACGGUCCUAAGGUAGCGAAAUUCCUUGUCGGGUAAGUUCCGACCUGCACGAAUGGCGUAAUGAUGGCCAGGCUGUCUCCACCCGAGACUCAGUGAAAUUGAACUCGCUGUGAAGAUGCAGUGUACCCGCGGCAAGACGGAAAGACCCCGUGAACCUUUACUAUAGCUUGACACUGAACAUUGAGCCUUGAUGUGUAGGAUAGGUGGGAGGCUUUGAAGUGUGGACGCCAGUCUGCAUGGAGCCGGCCUUGAAAUACCACCCUUUAAUGUUUGAUGUUCUAACGUUGGCCCCUGACCGGGGUUGCGGACAGUGUCUGGUGGGUAGUUUGACUGGGGCGGUCUCCUCCUAAAGAGUAACGGAGGAGCACGAAGGUUGGCUAAUCCUGGUCGGACAUCAGGAGGUUAGUGCAAUGGCAUAAGCCAGCUUGACUGCGAGCGUGACGGCGCGAGCAGGUGCGAAAGCAGGUCAUAGUGAUCCGGUGGUUCUGAAUGGAAGGGCCAUCGCUCAACGGAUAAAAGGUACUCCGGGGAUAACAGGCUGAUACCGCCCAAGAGUUCAUAUCGACGGCGGUGUUUGGCACCUCGAUGUCGGCUCAUCACAUCCUGGGGCUGAAGUAGGUCCCAAGGGUAUGGCUGUUCGCCAUUUAAAGUGGUACGCGAGCUGGGUUUAGAACGUCGUGAGACAGUUCGGUCCCUAUCUGCCGUGGGCGCUGGAGAACUGAGGGGGGCUGCUCCUAGUACGAGAGGACCGGAGUGGACGCAUCACUGGUGUUCGGGUUGUCAUGCCAAUGGCACUGCCCGGUAGCUAAAUGCGGAAGAGAUAAGUGCUGAAAGCAUCUAAGCACGAAACUUGCCCCGAGAUGAGUUCUCCCUGACUCCUUGAGAGUCCUGAAGGAACGUUGAAGACGACGACGUUGAUAGGCCGGGUGUGUAAGCGCAGCGAUGCGUUGAGCUAACCGGUACUAAUGAACCGUGAGGCUUAACCUUACAACGCCGAAG